rnacentral:rRNA from 1 species
UUUAGAGUUUGAUCCUGGCUCAGGAUGAACGCUGGCGGCGUGCUUAACACAUGCAAGUCGAGCGGAGAUGGGGAUAAACUUGUUUAGAACUAUCUUAGCGGCGGACGGGUGAGUAACGUGUGGGCAACCUGCCUUAUACAGUGGAAUAGCCACCGGAAACGGUGAUUAAUACCGCGUGUCACGUAGAUACGGCAUCGUAUUUACGGAAAAGGAGCAAUCCGGUAUAAGAUGGGCCCGCAUCUGAUUAGCUAGUUGGUGGGGUAACGGCUUACCAAGGCGACGAUCAGUAGCCGGCCUGAGAGGGUGAACGGCCACACUGGGACUGAGACACGGCCCAGACUCCUACGGGAGGCAGCAGUGGGGAAUCUUCCGCAAUGGGCGAAAGCCUGACGGAGCAAUGCCGCGUGAAUGAAGAAGGCCUUCGGGUUGUAAAGUUCUGUUGAGAAGGAAGAAAGGUAUUAGAGCUAAUACCUCUAGUAUUUGACGGUACUUUUCGAGGAAGCCCCGGCUAACUACGUGCCAGCAGCCGCGGUAAUACGUAGGGGGCAAGCGUUGUCCGGAAUCACUGGGCGUAAAGCGCAUGUAGGCGGCUUGGUAAGUCAGGUGUGAAAGCCCCCGGCCCAACCGGGGAAUUGCACUUGAUACUGCUAGGCUAGAGUUCAGGAGAGGUAANCGGAAUUCCUAGUGUANCGGUGAAAAUGCGUAAAUAUUANGAAGAACACGGGUGGCGAAGGCGGCUUACUGGACUGAAACUGACGCUGAGGCUCGAAAGCGUGGGGAGCGANCAGGAUUAGAUACCCNUGGUAGUUCCCCNCCGUAAACGAUGAGUGCUAGGUGUUGGGGGGGAACCCUCGGUGCCGGAGCAAACGCAAUAAGCACUCCACCUGGGGAGUACGGCCGCAAGGUUGAAACUCAAAGAAAUUGACGGGGGCCCGCACAAGCGGUGGAGCAUGUGGUUUAAUUCGAAGCAACGCGAAGAACCUUACCAAGGCUUGACAUCCCGCUGAUCGGCAUAGAGAUAUGCUUUCUCUUCGGAGCAGCGGAGACAGGUGGUGCAUGGUUGUCGUCAGCUCGUGUCGUGAGAUGUUGGGUUAAGUCCCGCAACGAGCGCAACCCUUAUUCUUAGUAGCCAGCAGGUUAAGCUGGGCACUCUAGGAAGACUGCCGUGGACAACACGGAGGAAGGUGGGGAUGACGUCAAAUCAUCAUGCCCCUUAUGUCUUGGGCAACACACGUGCUACAAUGGCCGGAACAAAGGGAAGCAAGCAUGCGAAUGUAAGCAAACCCCAAAAAUCCGGUCUCAGUUCGGAUCGCAGUCUGCAACUCGACUGCGUGAAGCUGGAAUCGCUAGUAAUCGCGAAUCAGCAUGUCGCGGUGAAUACGUUCCCGGGCCUUGUACACACCGCCCGUCACACCAUGGGAGUUGGAAGCGCCCGAAGUCGAUGACCCGACCCGUAAGGGAGGGAGUCGCCGAAGGUGAUAUCAGCGACUGGGGUGAAGUCGUAACAAGGUAGCC